rnacentral:rRNA from 1 species
GAUGAACGCUGGCGGCAUGCCUAAGACAUGCAAGUCGAACGAGAUGGCCCAAUGAAAGUUGAGUGCUUGCACAAAACCGGAUUUGGUUUACCAUCUAGUGGCAGACGGGUGAGUAACACGUGGGUGACCUACCUUCAAGUUGGGGAUAACAGUUGGAAACGAUUGCUAAUACCGAAUAAGAUGCAACUGUCGUGGUUGUAUUGAAAGGAGCCUUUAAAGCUUCGCUUAAAGAUGGGCCUGCGGCGUAUUAACUAGUUGGUGAGGUAAUGGCUCACCAGGUAACGAUGCGUAGCCGAACUGAGAGGUUGAACGGGCCACACUGGGGACUGAGACACGGCCCAGACUCCUACGGGAGACAGCAGUUAGGAUAUCGUCAAU